rnacentral:rRNA from 1 species
UAAGGAAUAUUGGUCAAUGGACGCAAGUCUGAACCAGCCAUGCCGCGUGAAGGAUGAAGGUCCUCUGGAUUGUAAACUUCUUUUAUCUGGGACGAAAACGGGAUUUUUAUCUCAAUUGACGGUACCAGAGGAAUAAGCACCGGCUAACUCCGUGCCAGCAGCCGCGGUAAUACGGAGGGUGCGAGCGUUAUCCGGAUUACUGGGUUUAAAGUGUGCGUAGGUGGGCUUAUAAGUCAGUGGUGAAAUCUCCGAGCUUAACUUGGAAACUGCCGUUGAUACUAUAGGUCUUGAAUUAUCUGGAGGUAAGCGGAAUAUGUCAUGUAGCGGUGAAAUGCUUAGAUAUGACAUAGAACACCAAUUGCGAAGGCAGCUUACUACAUAUAAAUUGACGCUGAGGCACGAAAGCGUGGGGAUCAAACA